CUCCCUUGUAGCAGGCAGACGACAUUCGUAGAAACAUGAGUCUUUUUUGGUGAAUGUGUUGCCAAUACCCCAUGUUCCACAACGUGUUUUGAAGUAAAGAGGAAUCUUCUUCUACGCUAAGUAAUCAGUAUCAAACUAAGGGAUUUAGUGGACCGAAGCACAUGCUCCACUUACGACAGAUGAUUCCGAGAAAACACUGAUUAUCGUAUGUCAUUAUCAGUACAGAAAGCUUGUUUAGUCAAGGACGAAUUAAAUUCCGGUCUACAUAGUGACAACAAUGUUACACUGUCAAAUCAAAGUCAUUUCCAGGAAUGUUUUAUCUUUGAUCAUUAGGCCCCAAAGGUAUUGCACUAAAUGUGUAGCUCGACAUAUACGUUUGAAGAAUGAAUGUCUUAAGAAAGAUGAGACUAUGCUCAACUCCAAAAUGGUCUGUGCAAAGUACAAGGAAAGACUAACUUCAGCACGCAGGAAUCAUUCAACUGUGACAAAAGCUUCAUCUCUGUAUGGCAUUGGCUCAUCAGAUGAUCGCCAGGAAGCAUCAGUGAAAAUUGAUCUUGAUUUGGAUGCUAGACUUUCCGAUGACAAUAUUAGAUGUCUUAGAGAGAAUCUAUUAGCAAGAGGCAUUUUGUUUGAUUUAGAGCAGCUGGUGAAAGACUACAAAGUCUUCAAAAAUUUAUCUCAACAAAAAGACAUACUUUUAGAUGAGCGCACCAAUGUCGCUAGAGCAAUGGCUGAUAUUGUCAGAGGAAAGUCUCCUAAUGAUAUAAAUGCUAAGGAAUUAUUGAUCAGUCAAGGAGCAGAAAUAAAGGAGAAGCUGAAAUCAACAAUGGCUGCAUGGUGGAAGGCGGAGGAGAAUGUGCUGUCCAGAGCCUUGCAGCUACCAAACAGACUUCAUGCUGAAACUCCAUUGUCCGAAGAGAAAGUACUAGAAAGGUGCCAAGGAACCAUUGAGAUGAAAGGUGAACCAGCUAGUCACCUUCAGUAUGCUGAGAAGCUUGGACUUCUAAAAUUCAGUGGUGUUGGGCCUCGAGCGACAUACCUGAUGGGAGAACUAGCAGAAAUGGAAGGUUUACUUGUUCAACAUGUGACCAGUCAACUACUGUCAGCUGGGCUUCAGCAAAUAGCUUGCCCAGAGAUCUUUAGGACUCUAGUUGUGGAAGGUUGUGGGCUUGAUUAUGACAGUCCUAAUGAGGUUUUCACUCUAUAUCAAAAAGAAGAUCACCUGAAGGCUAAUGCAUUCCACCUGAAAGGCAAUUCACUGCUGUCCUAUGCAGCAUUCUUGACAAAACAACAGAUUAAGACUUUGUACUUGCCGCUAAAGAUGUUUGCUGUUGGCCGUCACUACAAACCUCCUGUCUGUGAAGAUUUUCCAGGACUGUAUGGAACUAUUCAGUCCAACAGAAUAACAGUAUUUACAGCUUGCAAAGAUGCAUCUGAAGCCACAGACACUCAGAACUUAUUGACACAUUUUAUUUGGACUAUGAUAAAAAAUCUAGGCCUUCCUGCGAGACUUAUUCUUGUGGAACCAUCUUCCUUAACAGUAUCUGAAAGCCUUCGUGCAGAAAUACAAGUCUGGGCUCCUUCACUAAAAACUUUUGUACAGGUAAACUUCCUUCUGUGCAGUCUGUUGAUGUUAAAACUACAAGUCUGAUGGCGUCAAGGAAAAAUGUGUUUUUCAAGGUGGCAGCAGUCAGUAACCAUGGCGACUACGUAAGUCGCCGAUUGAUGACUUUUCACAGCGGAGAAUCACACACCAAAGACAAAAGUUAUGUGCAUAUGGUUAGCGGCGUGGCGUUGGACGUCACCAUGUUCCUGGCUUC
rnacentral:misc_RNA from 1 species